rnacentral:piRNA from 1 species
UGCUGUGCUGGGAAGAGUGGAGCGGC